CCAAGAGGUAAUAAAAACAUAGUUGUGAAGCUAUCGUGGUCUACCUUUAUGAGAUAGAACUGGUCUGGUUGUUGACAUAUUUUGGUUGUAAACAAGGUUCAUGGCCUUCCACCUAUAGUGGUCUUCCACUAGGACGUAAUUAAAAAAUACACUUCAUUCCAGUAGCCAGUUCUUCAAAUAAUUCAGCACAACCUUUAGGACUUGGAAAUAUUCAUUUAUUUCCAAAGCAGGUAGGCAUAGCCUUAUCCAAACCACCCUUUCUAGUAUGCCAAUUUACAUAUCGUAAUUUAAACUGCCAGCAAAGAUUUCCUCUUCUUUGGACAACUUGUUCAUAGUUUCUUUUGGAAAGGUUCCAAAGGAGAAGGUGAAAUGCAUUAUGUUAAUCGAGAGACAACAUAGCUUCCCCAACGAUUAGGUGGCAUUAGCAUCGGGAACUUUUAUCAUCGGAAUUUGGCUCGUUUGGCUGAAUGGAUUUAGAGAUUUCUAAACGAGAGAGACACCUUGUGGCGCAGACUUAUUUUUGCUAAAUAUUAUGGCUCCCAGAUUGAUUGUGUUUGGCCUCGUCUAAUUUUGAGAGGUUCACACAAAUCACCUUGGCGUCAUAUUUGCUCCAGUUUAUCUCUUGUUAAGUCUCAUGACUGUCGUUUUGGUAAUGGUCGAUCAAUUUCAUUUUAGCAUGAUCCUUGGUUGAGUUAUGAAGCUGUUGAUACUGUCUUCUCUCUUCUUUAUAGACUCACUUCUCAGCCAAAUAGUCCAGUUGCUGACGUCUGGGUUCCUUUACUAAUGCCUGGGAUUUGAGCUUCUGUCGGAACCCUAAUGAAUUGGAGACAACUGAAUGGUCCAAUCUCUCUCAUCUUCUAUCCUCAAUUAGGUUAAGGAACCUGAAUGAUUAUUGGUCUUGGCCUCUUGAUCCUUCCAAUACUUUUACUGUUAAAUCUCUUAUAAAAAAUAUUGUGGGUACAAAUGAACCCUUGUUGAAUAAUCUAUACUCAGUGAUUUGGCAAGAUGCUUAUUGAUUAAAAUCUUUC